rnacentral:lncRNA from 1 species
UUUUUAAAUAACACCAUGGCACAAAUCACUUAAAUGGGAAAAAUUUGUUUCACAAAGAAAUACCCAAUUAUUGUUAUCCAUACAAACAUGAACCUAGACAAAACAGUAUUUAUUCGUAACACGUACAGUGGGUAUCAGAAUUUGAAUAGAGAAGAAGAUUUCAUUGGCAAGAGAGGUUAAAUUACUCAGAGUAUAGAACAUACUACUUUUAGAAGGAAACAUAUGUGGUCCCCUAAUAUUGUAACAGGGCCCAAUGUAAUGGAUCAGAAAUCGUUAAGUUUGGGGUAUUCAUCUCCAUACAUGCAACUUUAAAAAGAACAAAUCAAGUGCUGAGAUGAAGAACAAUCACAUUAAUUGGCUGCCUACUUUCAGCACAAAUUGCCCGAGUAAAAUCGAUGGUGCAUUCUAUACAUGAUACCUUUCUAGUAAGGUCUGAUGCCAAAUCAAUUUGGCUUAAUUAAAUCCACUGUUGAAUGCUUCUAUUUAAUUUUGUACCUUUUUCAAAGCGUUAUUUGUAUGAAAUAUCUUCCCAUCACUCUCAUUCCUACUGGCUGAAUUCUUGCUGCUCCUCCUUUAAACUGAU